rnacentral:ncRNA from 1 species
AUUAUUAUUUUUUGUACCAAUUUAGUAUAGGUUAAUUCUGCUUAUUUAAAGUGGCUAAAAUAUAAUUUUACAUGUGAAUUUUUGUGAGUUAAUAUUUUAUUUCUUAAAGAAAUAAAGUUUAUUUAAUAUUCGCAGUUUAGAGCAUUAAUUAAUAAAUUAUUUUAGUAUUAGUUAAUAUUUUUAAGAAUAGUUUAAAAUUGUGCCAGCAAACGCGGUUAUACAGUUUAUUCAGGUUAUUUUUUUUAAGAGGCACUAAUUUUUUUAUUGGGCUUUAUUUUUAAUUUGUUAGGUGAAAUUUUAUUUUAUUUUAUUGUCUAGGUUUAGAUUAGUUAAGUGCGAUAUUCAAUUAUUAAACUAGGAUUAGAUACCCUAUUAUUUUUGAAUGUAAAUUAAUUUACUUUUUGGUAUUAAUAGUUAUGAUCUUUAAAUUAAAAGAUUUUGGCGGUAAUUUAAACUUUUUAGAGGAAUCUGUUCUUUAAUCGAUAAUCCACGUUGGAUUUAACUUUAAUUUAGUUUGUAUAUCUCUGUCAUUAGAAUGUUUUAUUAGAAUAUCUUCUUUAAUUAUUAUUUAAAUAAUGUCAGGUCAAGGUGCAGCUAUAUUAAAGGGUGAAAUGGAUUACAUUUAAUGUAAUUAAUUAGAUUAUUUAAUGAAAAAUUUUUAUUAAAAAGGAUUUAAAAGUAAAAAGUAAUAUCUAUUGCUUUUGAUUUAUGCACUGAAUUAUGUACAUAUCGCCCGUCACUCUCAUAAAAAUGAGAUAAGUCGUAACAAAGUAAUUCUAUUGGAAAAUGGAGUUAGAUGUUU